AGCGGCGAACGGGUGAGUAACACGUAGGUGAUCUGCCCAUCAGACGGGGACAACGAUUGGAAACGAUCGCUAAUACCGGAUAGGACGAAAGUUUAAAGGUGCUUCUGGCACCGCUGAUGGAUGAGCCUGCGGCGCACUAGCUAGUUGGUAGGGUAAAGGCCUACCAAGGCGACGAUGCGUAGCCGACCUGAGAGGGUGAACGGCCACACUAGGACUGAGACACGGCCCAGACUCCUACGGGAGGCAGCAGUAGGGAAUCUUCGGCAAUGGGCGAAAGCCUGACCGAGCAACGCCGCGUGAAUGAUGAAGGCCUUCGGGUUGUAAAAUUCUGUUAUAAGGGAAGAACGACUUUAGUAGGAAAUGGCUAGAGUGUGACGGUACCUUAUGAGAAAGCCACGGCUAACUACGUGCCAGCAGCCGCGGUAAUACGUAGGUGGCGAGCGUUAUCCGGAAUUAUUGGGCGUAAAGAGCGCGCAGGUGGUUGAUUAAGUCUGAUGUGAAAGCCCACGGCUUAACCGUGGAGAGUCAUUGGAAACUGGUCGACUUGAGUGCAGAAGAGGGAAGUGGAAUUCCAUGUGUAGCGGUGAAAUGCGUAGAGAUAUGGAGGAACACCAGUGGCGAAGGCGGCUUCCUGGUCUGUAACUGACACUGAGGCGCGAAAGCGUGGGGAGCAAACAGGAUUAUAUACCCUGGUAGUCCACGCCGUAAACGAUGAGUGCCCAAGUG
rnacentral:rRNA from 1 species